CCUACGGGUGGCAGCAGUGAGGAAUAUUGGACAAUGGGCGCAAGCCUGAACCAGCCAAGUAGCGUGAAGGAUGACUGCCCUACGGGUUGUAAACUUCUUUUAUAAAGGAAUAAAGUGAGGCACGUGUGCCUUUUUGUAUGUACUUUAUGAAUAAGGAUCGGCUAACUCCGUGCCAGCAGCCGCGGUAAUACGGAGGAUCCGAGCGUUAUCCGGAUUUAUUGGGUUUAAAGGGAGCGUAGAUGGGGUGUUAAGUCAGUUGUGAAAGUGUGCGGCUCAACCGUAAAAUUGCAAUUGAUACUGGCAGUCUUGAGUACAGAUGAGGUAGGCGGAAUUCGUGGUGUAGCGGUGAAAUGCUUAGAUAUCACGAAGAACUUCGAUUGCGAAGGCAGCUUACUAAACUGCCACUGACAUUGAUGUUCGAAAGUGUGGGUAGCAAACAGGAUUAGAUACCCCUGUAGUC
rnacentral:rRNA from 1 species